UAGGACAAGCUAAUUAGAUUGCUUAAACGUUAUAUAUUUAAAAAUGGAGCGAGUAGCUUUUUUUUUCUUUUGAAAUACAAGAAAAAGUUUUUCCCAGUCGAACCGGCUGCUCUGAAGUCGAAAUCGAUGUGAUCCUCAUUAAUUUUCUUGAGAGGUACUGUAGAACGGUGAUCUGUUCCUGAAAUCCUUUAGCAAGCACGCAACAGUCAUAGCCAACUGAUAUGAAAACAUUCCGGAAAUGGUUGCGCUGUAGCCUGUAGCAAAUCUUCCUCCCACACUGGCUGCUAGAUCUGGACUCUGCAUCUCCCUGAUGCGCCGGCA
rnacentral:lncRNA from 1 species